rnacentral:rRNA from 1 species
CCUACGGGAGGCAGCAGUGAGGAAUAUUGGUCAAUGGACGAGAGUCUGAACCAGCCAAGUAGCGUGAAGGAUGACUGCCCUAUGGGUUGUAAACUUCUUUUAUAUGGGAAUAAAAUGUUCCACGUGUGGGAUUUUGUAUGUACCAUAUGAAUAAGGAUCGGCUAACUCCGUGCCAGCAGCCGCGGUAAUACGGAGGAUCCGAGCGUUAUCCGGAUUUAUUGGGUUUAAAGGGAGCGUAGGUGGAUUGUUAAGUCAGUUGUGAAAGUUUGCGGCUCAACCGUAAAAUUGCAGUUGAAACUGGCAGUCUUGAGUACAGUAGAGGUGGGCGGAAUUCGUGGUGUAGCGGUGAAAUGCUUAGAUAUCACGAAGAACACCAGUGGCGAAGGCGGAUGACUGGACGGCAACUGACGCUGAAGCACGAAAGCGUGGGUAUCGAACAGGAUUAGAUACCCUUGUAGUC